GAAAUGUCAAGUAUUAUGAUCAAGAAGAGUGAAACUUAAGGAGAUAUUUUUUAAUAUAGUUACAUUGAAAUCCAAGCUUUCAGAACUAUCAUUUCUCAUUUAGAAAUCCAAUCUCUGCCAAUUCUAUUUCAGGAGUUUUACAAAUAAAUGAUGGCAGCUUAAUAUGUUCCCUUGCUGAUAAAUGCUCAUGGAAAGUGUUGAAAAUAAAUAAGUGCCCCUUUAACAGUACUGACCUCUAAACACUCACCUUAGAGAGAAUCUCCAAGGUAGUCUUCCCUGCUACCUGACAUGCAAAUGCUUGUUGAACAUAGGUUUAUUUCCAAAUGCUAUAUUAAAGGUUUUGCUGCAAGCCUGCAUUCCAUUUUAAUCUUCUUCAAAGUUCACAGGAAAAUUUUCAGUGUUCUUAACAUUCUCUUCCUCCCUGGGAACAAAAUCUUUCCAAGACUUUCCUUCUGGAUGGUAUUUGAUAGAGUUACAAUGAUGUUGUUUCCUGGGACUACCACUGUCAUAAACAAAAAUGUGUGGCACUAAAUCCCAACAAGUCACACCGAACGUGCACUUGAGUGAAUCAAAUUCAUUAUGAAAAUGAACACACUUGGGAAACAGUGAAAAUGGUUAACCAUUUUUUUUAAUUUAAUGGAUUUGUCUAUGAAUUAUGUAACAUAUACUACCACAUUUAGAAGAAUCUUCUUUCCUGUUUUUAAUGGACAUAUAAUAUCUGAUGAUGAAAAAGCCUACCUAGAUUAUAUUUCAUUACUUUAAAAAUGAAUUAGUAUCAUUCUAUUUCUACACAUAAAAUGGAUUCCAUCAAUAUAUCUGAAAAUAAGGUCAUGCUAACUUGCCUAAUAGUUAAUGUACUGCAAAUGUUACAGUAAAAUACCAUGCUCAAAAAAGAAAUACUUUCACUCGCUUCAUCAUAAAAGCCAUGGAUAUUGCAAUUAUUUGCAAAGGGUUCUGCAGCAGUCAACUGGAUAAAAAAGAUGGUCAUUUCUUUUUCAUGUGAUUUUUCAGCUCUCAUAAAAGAAAAUAUCUCUAUUAAAUUUAUCAGUAACCGUGCAUAUCUUAUCUUUGAAACCGAAGUAAAGCCUACAAGAUGACGGUCACACAACUUACAUACAUCCAUGUGUACACACAUACUCAAAACAAAAAAUUAGGGUUAAGGGGAGAGUAAAUUUCCCCCUCAGUACUAUGUCCAUAAACAAAUGCUCUGUGAAUAGUUUGUCUCUCUUGAGCCACAUUUCUAUUUUUAAAGUCUCUCUUCACAUAGAUCAUAUGAUGUUCGUGAACUCUAAGAAUGUUCUGACUUAUUGCCUCACUAAUAAUUUAAUUGAAGCCACUUCUAUUUUUAGGGAAGAGCUUAGUCACGUAUGUGGGUUUCUACUAUGCCUCAGGAAUUUUUUUAGUUUCACAGUAAAGUGAUCUGAGUUAAGUAAACUAUUUUGAUCUUAUAUGAGUGAGGUUUUCUUUCAUACAGUCAAUAUCUAUCUCCAUUAUGAAGUCAUGAGAUUUUCUAAAACUCUUCUUAAUGUUGUUUAAAAGUAUUUCUGCAUUAUCAUACCAAUUCAACAUUAUUUAUAAUGCAUUAGAGCAAAUAUAGGAGUAGGUUAAGGACACGCAUAGGAAAAAAUACAUUUUAGCAAAUGAAUCAGAUCAAUUUUUCAUUUUUCCCAAAUCUGCUGUCACUGUGGCCUUUGAGACAGACUAAAAGAUAUCAACUAGGUCAUGCAUUUUCCUCUUAAGAGAUGAUUGCUUCCGUGAAGGGAAUUGAAACUAUUUCUAAAAAAUCAUUUAUUUGGAGAAUUUAGCUUUAUCCAUCUGAUGUGAUCUUUUAAACCUCUAAAAAUCAAGUCGAUUUUGCUUGUCAUACAUAAAAGGCUGAUGAUUUCAUUAGGAUUGGUGUCUGGCUGGAAAUAAAGGAGGUGAUCAAGUUGAGAAAAAGGAUGACGCCAUUCAGAGGUACAAGAUUACUCAUUGUUCUGAGUUUUCAAUCUAUGACGUGGGUAGGUACACUUCCAAUAUGAGUGAUAACUAUCAUUUAAGACUCUAUAAAUGUGCAUGUGAUGGGUUCAAAUUUUAUUUAACAUUCUUAUCCACUGGCCCAAUCAGCACACUAGCAAGCAGUCAAAUAUCAAACUCCAUAUGCCAUGGGUGUGGCCUUAGGAAAAACAGAAAAAAAAAAAAAAAAAAAAAAAAAAAAAAGAGCACUGACUAAAUCAUAAACUAUGUGAUUUGAAUCUUGCAAAUAGGGAACUUUGUUGAAGAUCAAGUGAUAAUAAAUAACUUUAGGAAAAGAAGAGGGAUUAAAAUUAACAAAUUAGAUGAAGAAAAUAGCCUCAAAACUUAGAGGGCUGUCUCAAAAUGUCCUACCAUAAGGAAGCAUAAGGGUGAAACUAAAGUGUGUGCCAAAAGCUAAAAGAAAAAGUUCUCUAUUCCCACGAGGCAAGAUCCAGGUGACUGAAGAGAACUAACUUGUUAACAAAAACAGAGAUGGUAGAAAUAAUUGUCACACUAUUAUUUUUGUUUAUAGUUUAAACAUUUUCAUACGUACAUACUCUAUUUCUUUCAAGCUCAAGGUGUUUUACAUUUUCCUAUUUUCUGGAUACUUCCACCCUCUCUUUCUACCCAAAUCACUCACUUCCUCCCUAUAACCCACCUCAUGAUCCUCAUUAAUAUGUUCAUAUGUCCCUCUCUUUUCAUCAUCUUCCCAAUAUACAGGUAAACAUAAAUAUACUUUCAUAUAUACAAAUGCAGUAUUUUCCUUUAAAAAAAUAGAAUAAUAUUAGACGCAAUUUUAUACAUCUUGGCUUUCUUACUAAACCAUACUAUUUAGAAAUGCUGUCUUAGAGUUCCUGUUGUGGCUCAGCAGGUUAAGAACUUGACUAGUAUACAUGAGGAUGUGGGUUUGAUCCCUGGCCUUGCUCAGUGGGUUAAGGAUCUGGCAUUGCUGUGAGCUGUGGUGUAGGUCACAGAUGUGGCUUGCAUCCUACCUUGCUAUCACUGUGGCCAGCAGCUGCAUCUCCGAUUCGACCCCAGCCUGGAAAUAUGCUGCAGGUAUGGCCCU
rnacentral:lncRNA from 1 species